GUCGCUUACGAUUAGAGCAGAGGAGAGGGAGCGCGAAUACGCUCAGAAAUGCGUUCAGAAAUCUGUGCAGAAUUUCAAGCUCAGUUGCAAAUGAUCAUGGCGCAUAUUCCUGGACUGCAGAAUGUGCAUUUACAUCAUCAACAUCAGAUGGCUAUCCUAUCAAUUCACAAAGAGGGGAAGGCCUCAACUAGCUCCUAGACAACCUUGCCAAGAAGUUUAAAAGUCAUUGCAAGGUUUGCAUUUUAUUUGUUUCUUUGACACAUAGAUUUGUCCGUUUGUGUUCAUAAUAAGUCCAUAUGAUUGGUGAACCACACUUCACUACUGGUGCUGUUUCUAUUAACCAUUUUAACUCUGAGCCACUGCCCCAAUGUCAGCAGUACCCUGUUUUUCUACCAAUUUUAAGAAAUUUUUGUUUGGUUGUCUGUGCUCGACAUGAUAUCGAUGUUAUUAUCAAUGUUGAGCCUUCUAUUAUAUUAGUCGGCACAAUCUAGCAAAGCCGGUAUGGUUUGCAUGUAUCUUUCUAUGUUGAUAAAGCUGUGUUAUCCGGGAACCUCCUGAAGUUCAUCUUUUCCUUCCAGCCUAAGCGGCCUAAGAAGGUGAGAGUUCAUAUGCACUUGCGAAGAAUGUAGAGAAUUUACUGCCUUGACUUGUUUUUUCUGAACCUACUGAACCUCUCUUGCUGCCUUGACUUGUUUUCUUGUCAAGCAGAACUUUAAACACUCUUCAUUGAUGGUUCAGAUCACUACAGUGGGAGGAGCAUGCUUGUCGCUGCUCUCAUGGACAUAAUUACUUCGAACUGUGAUAGUAAUGGAAAGCACUAUGAAAUAAUUUUGAAGCACUCUAUUAGUUCAUUAUUGACCUGUACUUUGGUCAAUGUCUAGGUUUUUUAGUGUUGUUUUUUUUCAUGAUUUACUAUUUACUUUUCGAUUUGAUUAUUUGUUGAUGUAGGGUUUAUGAUUUUUCGACAAGGACUUUUGCUAGUUGUUACUUAUCUGACCUUCAUUUUUUUCCUUCUUAAUUUCUACAGUGUGUCGCAUCACACCGAUAUAGGAUCCAUUUCUUAAAUGGAAAUGAAUUACUAUUGAAAUAGGAGCUGAAGCAUUUUUUUUUAUCGUUUUUUAAGUAUUUUCUAUUUCCAAAGUUGAGAGAGUAAGGAAUAAUGUUGAAUUGUAUAUCGAAUGUUAUUACUCUAUUGCUUUUAAAUUGAUUUUGCUGUUAUUUUAUUUUUAAGCUGUUGUGGAUCAGAAGACAAUUAGCCUUUUAAAUUGUUGUUAAAAAAAUAAUUUUGUUUACUUUAAUAUUUUGUUUGUUAUUUUG